rnacentral:rRNA from 1 species
UACGUCCUACGGGAGAAAGCAGGGGAUCUUCGGACCUUGCGCUAAUAGAUGAGCCUAAGUCGGAUUAGCUAGUUGGUGGGGUAAAGGCCUACCAAGGCGACGAUCUGUAGCGGGUCUGAGAGGAUGAUCCGCCACACUGGGACUGAGACACGGCCCAGACUCCUACGGGAGGCAGCAGUGGGGAAUAUUGGACAAUGGGCGCAAGCCUGAUCCAGCCAUGCCGCGUGUGUGAAGAAGGCCUUAUGGUUGUGAAGCACUUUAAGCGAGGAGGAGGCUACUUUAGAUAAUACCUAGAGAUAGUGGACGUUACUCGCAGAAUAAGCACCGGCUAACUCUGUGCCAGCAGCCGCGGUAAUACAGAGGGUGCAAGCGUUAAUCGGAUUUACUGGGCGUAAAGCGCGCGUAGGCGGCUAAUUAAGUCAAAUGUGAAAUCCCCGAGCUUAACUUGGGAAUUGCAUUCGAUACUGGUUAGCUAGAGUGUGGGAGAGGAUGGUAGAAUUCCAGGUGUAGCGGCGAAAUGCGUAGAGAUCUGGAGGAAUACCGAUGGCGAAGGCAGCCAUCUGGCCUAACACUGACGCUGAGGUGCGAAAGCAUGGGGAGCAAACAGGAUUAGAUACCCUGGUAGUCCAUGCCGUAAACGAUGUCUACUAGCCCGUGGGGGCUUUGAGGCUUUAGUGGCGCAGCUAACGCGAUAAGUAGA